AUGGCGGAGGCGAUCGCCCUGGUCAGCGGAGGGAACAAAGGGAUCGGGCUGGAGACGUGCAGGCAGCUCGCGUCCAAGGGGUUCAAGGUCCUGCUGACGGCGAGGAACGAGGCGAGGGGGCUGGAGGCGGUCGAAGGCGUCAGGCGCUCCGGUGCUGACGUCGUCUUCCAUCAGCUGGAUGUCACCGACCCUGACAGCGUCGCCCGGCUGGCGGAUUUCGUCAGGGAUCAGUUCGGGAAGCUCGAUAUCCUGAUUAACAAUGCAGGCAUUUCAGGUGUUGAUCGAGAUCCAGUUCUGUUUGCACAAGUUCAGGAACAGGUUGAAAGCAUGGAUGUAGAUCAAAGAGUUCAAUGGAUGAAAGAAAAUUCUAAGGAGACAUAUGAGGAAGCAAAAGAAUGCAUGAGAACAAACUACUAUGGGGCAAAGCUUGUCACGGAGGCACUACUGCCUCUUCUUCAGUUGUCCUCCUCUGGGAGAAUUGUCAAUGUCUCAUCAGGCUUUUCACUGCUAAGGGCACUAAACUUCAACAGCGAAGAACUGAAGAAGGAAUUCGACGACAUUGACAACCUUACUGAAAAGAGACUAGAGGAGCUUCUGGAUCUAUUCCUGGAAGACUUCAAUGCCAACUUGAUAGAGGCACAUGGGUGGCCGACCGGUGGCUCGUCGGCCUACAAAGUCGCCAAAGCUGCCCUGAAUGCAUACACGAGGAUCCUUGCCAAGAGGUUCCCCGCGAUGCGCAUCAACUGUUUGACGCCUGGUUUUGUCAAGAGCGACAUGUCCAUGCACAUGGGAGAGUUGACGCUCGAGGAGGGCGCUAGCAACCUGGUGAAGGUCGCUCUCUUGCCCGACGAUGGCCCGAAUGGUGCUUAUUUUGAUAGGGAUGGCGUGGCGUCGUUUGUGUGA
rnacentral:rRNA from 1 species